rnacentral:rRNA from 1 species
GAUGAACGCUGACAGCAUGCUUAACACAUGCAAGUCAACUGUGGCGGACGGGUGAGUGACGCGUAAAGAACUUGCCUCACAGAUAGGAACAACAUUUGGAAACGAAUGCUAAUACCUGAUACUGUGAGAGAGCUUUGCGUCCCAUUAGCUGUGUGGAGAGGUAACGGCGCACCAAGGCGAUGAUGGGUAGCCGGCCUGAGCGGGUGAUCGGCCACAAGGGGACUGAGAUGGGGCCAUUACGCAUACGGGAGGCAGCAGUGGGGAACAGUGGACAAUGGGCCAAAGUGUGAUGCAGCAAUUCGGUGCGUAAGAUGAAGUUUUAGGAAUGAAAAGUGCUGUCAGUUGGGAAGCGGUACCAAAAGAAGAAGCGACGGCUAAAUACGUGCCAGCAGCCGCGGUAAUAC